UUGGUGAAGUAUUAGAAUGACAGCCAGGCAUACUUGAACGCAGUGGUUCCAAACCCAGUCCUCAAGUACCCCCUGACAGUCCAGGGUUUAGGGAUUACCCAGUUGUGUCUAAGGUGUUUUUUUUAGAGGGGGAACAACUAAUUUUCGGUCCAUGCACAAAGUGGGUUGCAGCAUAGAUAUUACUUAAAAUCUUAAUAUUCAACCCGAAAACACAAAGGAAAUGUAUCAAAUCCUUAUAUUGCAUGUAAUGUAUGCAGAUGGACUCCUGAU